GACGAACGCUGGCGGCGUGCUUAACACAUGCAAGUCGAACGGAAAGGCCCUGCUUUUGUGGGGUGCUCGAGUGGCGAACGGGUGAGUAACACGUGAGUAACCUGCCCUUGACUUUGGGAUAACUUCAGGAAACUGGGGCUAAUACCGGAUAGGAGCUCCUGCUGCAUGGUGGGGGUUGGAAAGUUUCGGCGGUUAGGGAUGGACUCGCGGCUUAUCAGCUUGUUGGUGGGGUAGUGGCUUACCAAGGCUUUGACGGGUAGCCGGCCUGAGAGGGUGACCGGCCACAUUGGGACUGAGAUACGGCCCAGACUCCUACGGGAGGCAGCAGUGGGGAAUAUUGCACAAUGGGCGGAAGCCUGAUGCAGCAACGCCGCGUGCGGGAUGACGGCCUUCGGGCUGUAAACCGCUUUCGCCUGUGACGAAGCGUGAGGGACGGUAAUGGGUAAAGAAGCACCGGCUAACUACGU
rnacentral:rRNA from 1 species